CUUCAAGAAGCAGGUUUUUCAGAAAAGCACUGAACCAAGCAGACCACCUUCUGGCUCCCUUGGUUAUACCAUUCAGAGGAAAGCAGCAGAUGGGGAUGUAUUCUGUGCUGGCAAUUUCUCCCACUCUUGUCUGGCCAACCCACAGACCAGUGUAUAUAAACAGGAAGAUGAGCCCUCAUCUUGCUAAGCAAUACUGAUGGGCCUUUUCCUCCAUCCAUUCUCUCAGGAGAGAAAGGAGUCUUAAUCCUCAAUGAUGUCUUCACUUAGUCUGUUUGGAAGAAGGAUCAAUUCUUGCAGAAUUCUUCAGGACUCCAGGAAUCUGACCCAGAGAAGGAUUAAGUAACCAAAACCAAAUCUACGUUUUUAAAAUUAUGCAGUUGAUCUUGAGCAAUAAACAUGUAGCCUGUCA